rnacentral:rRNA from 1 species
AGUGAACGCUGGCGGUAGGCCUAACACAUGCAAGUCGAACGGCAGCACAGUAAGAGCUUGCUCUUACGGGUGGCGAGUGGCGGACGGGUGAGGAAUACAUCGGAAUCUACUUUUUCGUGGGGGAUAACGUAGGGAAACUUACGCUAAUACCUCAUACGACCUACGGGUGAAAGCAGGGGAUCUUCGGACCUUGCGCGACUGAAUGAGCCGAUGCCGGAUUAGCUAGUUGGCGGGGUAAAGGCCCACCAAGGCGACGAUCCGUAGCUGGUCUGAGAGGAUGAUCAGCCACACUGGAACUGAGACACGGUCCAGACUCCUACGGGAGGCAGCAGUGGGGAAUAUUGGACAAUGGGCGCAAGCCUGAUCCAGCCAUACCGCGUGGGUGAAGAAGGCCUUCGGGUUGUAAAGCCCUUUUGUUGGGAAAGAAAAGCAGCAGGUUAAUACCCCGCUGUUCUGACGGUACCCAAAGAAUAAGCACCGGCUAACUUCGUG